UAAGGAAUAUUGGUCAAUGGACGCAAGUCUGAACCAGCCAUGCCGCGUGAAGGAUUAAGGCCCUCUGGGUUGUAAACUUCUUUUAUAGGGGAAGAAAUGUGACGGUUCUCCAUCACUUGACGGUACCCUGGGAAUAAGCACCGGCUAACUCCGUGCCAGCAGCCGCGGUAAUACGGAGGGUGCAAGCGUUAUCCGGAUUCACUGGGUUUAAAGGGUGCGUAGGUGGGCAGAUAAGUCAGUGGUGAAAUCUUCCGGCUUAACCGGGAAACUGCCGUUGAUACUAUUUGUCUUGAAUAUUGCGGAGGUAAGCGGAAUAUGUCAUGUAGCGGUGAAAUGCUUAGAUAUGACAUAGAACACCAAUUGCGAAGGCAGCUUACUACACAAUCAUUGACACUGAGGCACGAAAGCGUGGGUAGCGAACA
rnacentral:rRNA from 1 species